GAGAGAGAGAGAGAGAGAGCGCGCACAGCUCUAAGAUCCUGUACAUCAUCUUCAAAUAUCAGUUCUCGGCCCAGCACACUGGGUUUUGGCCAGGAAGCAGCAUUUCUGGCGGCCUCAAAAACAGAUUGUGAUUAGCUGUACUGCUUUCACGUUGUGAUUGCUUACAGCUGAGCCACAGUGGCACCCAAACUGUAGAAUCAGCUCCUCUUAUAGAAUGGUUGGCAACAAAAAUAUAAUUUCAGAUAGUCUUAAGGAUGAUGGUCAUGGUAAUGACUGUUAUUUUGCUGUCUCGUUAUUCCAUUCACAUGUAAGAAAAGAGACUGUGAGAGUAUGUGUGAGAGAGAAAGAAGCUUGAGCUGUGUGAAGGUAAGAGGUUGCCAGACGGGAUUUAUUCUGUCCCCCCCAGUACAGAGGCUUUCCAACCCUGAUGGCAAGCUUUCCAUGACACGUCCGUACACGAUAUCCUUGCCAACGUCAGUUCACACCUCUGUGGCACUACCUGCUGUCCGCUGUGCCUGGACAAGUGUCUGUGCCAGCUUUGUAUCCGGCGUUCACAGCAUAUUUAGUCUUGAGAUUUAUCGAUAUCCUUCUUUGUAUUUAGAUAAUCUACUACACUGGAACCACUAUGUGAGGUGUCAGUACAUAAAAAGGUCUUUGUUCGAGCUUUAUUUUUUACAAGCCGUCGGAGUCAGCCAGGCAGCUCAUUCACUCGGAAUUGUUAGUGUGUGAGCUGCUUAAAGAAAACAAGGAGGUUAAAUGUUUCUGAGCUAUCCGUAUCAAACUGCAUGCCUCCCUCCCCGUCAUACCCCUUUCUUGCAGAGACUGCAGGGGAGAGAGGGGACUGCAGUGGCUCUGCGAUGGUGUGGGGCCUGAAUGAAGACGGAUGGAUCCAUCAGAACGCCUGGAUGAUGAAUCAUGGGCUGUGGGAGAGGCUCUCAUUUAUGUAAAAGAGAUCUUCUAUAACCCUGAUGCUGGAUACAGGAUCUUUCAGCCUGUGCAGGUCUAAGCUGGAAUCAUUUUGUGUGUUUGUGUGUGUGUGUGCGUGUGUGUGCGUGUGUGUGCGUGUGUGUGCGUGUGUGUGCGUGUGUGUGCGUGUGUGUGCGUGUGUGUGUGUGUGUGUGUCAUCUUCACAAAAGCUGUUUAGCACCGAGCCAUUUCUUUUCCAAUGCAGGUGGUGAGGCGAAGGCGUGAGAAAGUAGCUAAACGCUCAGUAAAAAGCCAAAUCCAGCCCCAUGCAUUAUGGAUGUGAGACUGGAGGCGAUGGAGCUAGGUGGUGAAGAGACGGAAAGAGUGUUAAGCAAAACAGGUUAAGAGUGCUUUCUACCCCAAGUGAGGGUAUACGUGUGUGCACUCACUCUCUGUGUGAGCCCCAUGAGUGACUGGCCUCCCUCAGUAGGGGGUGGCAAGCGCUCCAGCUGUUUUGGCAGAUAAGCCGGUGCAGUGGUACUCUGAGCUUCCUGUCGUGCAUCAGCUGCCUCUGUCCCCUCUACACCCGACACUCAGCUGUCCCCGCACACAAACGCUACGAUUUGCUAGCACGGUUUCAACUCCCUCAACACUGAAUUAGCUAGAAACACACACGUACACACCUGUCUCAGCACUCUGCAUUAACACUAAGGAUUACUGAUACCUCGUCAUCCUUUCCGCUCCACUGCUGACUAAUUACCUGGCCAGCCAUCGCCAUGCACACACCACACACAUGCAUACACACGCACAAACACAUAGCUCACUGUCGCUAAUGAUAAUUGCAGUAAUGAACACAAGGCUAGAGGGUUUUCUCAGACGCCAUCUUCUGACUUUAUCCGAGAUGACUUGCAGAGACAUAUUGGGUAAACAGUGAGCAUCUUGCUCAACCUGCUAAACAGCCCUGGAGGUGAACACAGGGUUUAGAUAAGAGUAAAACAAGCCAGUACCGAGCUCUGCAACUCUAUAAGCUUCAGCAGUUUGUUUUGGAUGACAAAAAAAUGCUGUUACUAGUUUUGUUUGGUGUGGAUUAAAAAGCGUGAGCUACAUUUCAUUGGUCCAAUUUCGCACUAGCUUUAUUAUAUCAAUACGGUUUCUUUAUGUAUAACAUUCUAAAGAAAUAUGGACAGAGUGCUUUAUAGAGGAUUGAUACCAGUUUCGAAUUCAAGGCAAGAUCAAUAACAGAGGUAAAAAAGAAGAAAAACGAUUCCAAAAGCAAAAUGUAAUGCAACCUUAAGGUUAGCAUGUAUGUUAGCUAGCUAAGCAACCAAUUCUGAUUUAUAGCUUAAGCUAGCAGUGUGCUCCAGGGCUGACAGGAUAUCUCGGGCUACUUUACACAAUUCACAAUUGAAUUUUAAUGAAUAAAAGAUGUAGUAUUCAGUUUAAUAUAUACAAGCCUGUAAUCAUGUACAAACCUAGACAGAGCAAUAGCAUUAGCAGCAGCACUAUGCUAUGUGUUUGUAAGCAAAACUGCUGUUUUUUUUUUUUUUUUAAGCGAAGGAAAUCAGACCGAGGCAAUAGUGAUUCAGUGUUUAGUGUUUCUGAAUCAUUUUUAAUUACUUAUCCACUGCAGUGUUGCUAAUGCUGAACACAAAUGUACAUUUCCUCGGUUACACAGGAUGCCCAUAAAAAUCUGCCAUCUUCAGGCAGGAAUAUUUGAAUGCUUUCUGCAGCACCAUUACAGCGAAGUGCAAAUCUCCUCAGGUUAAAGUGAAGAUGACAACAACGGGAUGUUUAUCGAGUUAGGUCUUAACAGAUGUUCCUUCAUUAUUGUCACCGUCACAGAUUGUCCUUUAUUUCGUUGUCAUAAUGGUCAAAUAGUAAGAUAUCAGUAGUGAAAAAUGAAACAAAAAUUCUAAGUCCAAACAUUAAUAUUUCCCUUUUCGAAUGUUUUAAAUAUGCUCCAAUAAAAAAAUUGCCCUUUUUUUUUUUUUUUAAUUUUCUUUAUUUAUUUUUUAAAAUAACUUUCUCCAAUCCUCUGAGCAGGUGUAAUAUUCACCCCAUACUCAUUUGACUUGACACAUCUGUUGGAACGCUGCCAGAUGUCAUACACUGCCGAGAGGGUCAAGGCAAAACUUCUGUUGAUUGUUUUUAUCUUUUGGAUUUGUUGUCUUGUUGCCAAAUACACUCACAUUUGACUUAUUUCCAUAUACCAGAGGGGGAUGCAGCAUUUUUUUCUUCUGUUGUAAAUUGAAUACCAAAUAGCUUCCUUUAUACUAUAAAUACUCAUUAUAUAAGAUAUAAGAUUUUAGCUGCACCCACAUGGUGCGCUACAUGGGCAAUACAGCAUCAUUUGAGAUUGAAAAAGAAGACAAAAACGGAUUCCAACAAGUGCCUGAGGGGAAACUUUCAAUUACUUACAUGUCAUAUGUUUAAGACACUCCGUUGUAAUUUUUUUUUCAUUAAAUAAUGCAGUACGUACAUCAUAAACAAUAUGGGGGGGGCAUAUGGUAUAAAUGCUGUGGAUAUUCAGAGCCCUUUUUCUAUUGCAGGUGAUGAGUCAUGGAGCAAAAAAUGAGAAAAUCCAUUAUAUUUGAUAGACUUACAUUAGGUGACUAAAAGUAGUCUAAAUGUAGAAUUUUUCCAUUUGAAUCCAUAAAUAUUAUGAAAAGUGUUUUGAGCAGUGAAAUUCAUUCCGACAGCC
ensembl:lncRNA